GACGAACGCUGGCGGCGUGCUUAACACAUGCAAGUCGAACGGAAAGGCCUCUUUCGGGGGGUACUCGAGUGGCGAACGGGUGAGUAACACGUGAGUAACCUGCCCUUGACUUUGGGAUAACUUCAGGAAACUGGGGCUAAUACCGGAUAGGAGCUCCUGCUGCAUGGUGGGGGUUGGAAAGUUUCGGCGGUUGGGGAUGGGCUCGCGGCUUAUCAGCUUGUUGGUGGGGUAGUGGCUUACCAAGGCUUUGACGGGUAGCCGGCCUGAGAGGGUGACCGGCCACAUUGGGACUGAGAUACGGCCCAGACUCCUACGGGAGGCAGCAGUGGGGAAUAUUGCACAAUGGGUGGAAGCCUGAUGCAGCAACGCCGUGUGCGGGAGGACGGCCUUCGGGUUGUAAACCGCUUUCGCUCAUGACGAAGCUUUGUGUGACGGUAGUGGGUAAAGAAGCACCGGCUAACUACGUG
rnacentral:rRNA from 1 species